UUUUUUCAGAUUUUUUGUUUAGCUUGUUGCUUUUCUUAUUUUAGAAAAGUAUGGUAAUAGUUUUACCAUUACGGGGAAGUUUGGUUAUGGUUUAAUCAUUAGGGGAGUUUGUUGGAAUGCUCAUGUUUUCAGUUAUUGUUAUUAGUCCGAUUUGUGAACUGUCUGAGACUAGGACAACUGUUUGUGGACUUGCAUGAUUUGCACCCACGGGAUGUUGUUAUUCCCUUUACCAAGACCAAAGAAGAGCUGAAGUUCCACCCCUAUUUUGAAGAUUGAAGUUUUUACCCUAAAGAGUUGUUGACAUGAUUUCUCUACCCUUGACAAGUUGUCCACGACAUACGUGUUACAUUUUAUGAUUGCAAAGUUUGCGUUGUGUGUACCACGUUUGUCGUGCGGGGGAGUAUUGGAGAUAUCUUGGGGAGCAAGAUGUGUAUCUUGCAGACUAACUAUUAUGGACCGUCAAAGUCCGCUAUUGAAGUGAACCCGUGAAGCCCAAGUCGAAGAAUAUUCUAGAAGUAUGAUAAGGAGUAAGAAAUUUAGAAUAUUUACUUAUUCAUGUUUAUCUGUUUCCUAUUCUAAUUAGGUUAAACAUAAGUUAGCCUCUAUAUAUUGUAUCAAUUCUUUAGAGAUUAAACAACACAAUAAUAAAGAGUUUUCCCCAAAUCCUUCUAUAGUUUUUUCAUGUACAAUAUAUAUAUAUAUAUAUAUAUAUAUAUAUAUAAUCAGAUUUUUUUAUAUAUAAAAUAAAUAGCAUUGGGAAAGAAAAGCAUUUAACAACCUGGUCAAAACUUAUGGAAGUUCUAAUGAGAAAAGAGAUGGGACUGAGCAUAGCAAGGAGCUUCUAGCUGAGAUGCGUGAUAUCAAAGAAGCAAAAUCAGAAAUUGAAGAACAUUUGGCGGUAAAAUAUAGUAUAUAUUUCCAUUUAAAUGCUCUUAAAUAUUUAUAAGAUUGCAACUAAUUUAUGCAUAUUAUAUGCUAUUAUUAUUUUCUUAAUUUUGGUGGAUAGUUAAAUAUGCUAAUUGGAUUAUUGAAAAUUUUUAGGAUUUGAUGAAGAAAAUACGCAAAGCGAUUGAGGAGGAAGAUGCUUCCUCUUCUAAGUAAAGGAAUAAGUAGUAAUUUCACAAGUUAUGGAAUAAUUAAUAUAUGGUUUUUCAUGUCAUUUAUCAUCAAUAAUGAAGUAUUAAUAUUGAAUAAGUUAUAAUGUAUUUCUCUCUUUUAUUCUCUAUCGAUUUCCCUUUUUCAUAUUGCCAAUUUUCA
rnacentral:lncRNA from 1 species